UAGGGAAUCUUCCACAAUGGGCGAAAGCCUGAUGGAGCAACACCGCGUGAGUGAAGAAGGGUUUCGGCUCGUAAAGCUCUGUUGUUAAAGAAGAACACGUAUGAGAGUAACUGUUCAUACGUUGACGGUAUUUAACCAGAAAGUCACGGCUAACUACGUGCCCG
rnacentral:rRNA from 1 species